UGGCGGGCGGGUGAGUAAUGUCUGGGAAACUGCCCGAUGGGGGGGGAUAACUACUGGAAACGGUAGCUAAUACCGCAUAACGUCGCAAGACCAAGAGGGGACCUUCGGGCCUCUCGCCAUCGGAUGUGCCCAGAUGGGAUUAGCUAGUAGGUGGGGUAACGGCUCACCUAGGCGACGAUCCCUAGCUGGUCUGAGAGGAUGACCAGCCACACUGGAACUGAGACACGGCCCAG
rnacentral:rRNA from 1 species